GCCGGUAUAGUAUAAUGGCAAUACGGGUCCAUGGUAAGGAUCAACUCGUGGUUCAAUUCCGCGUACCGGCACCA
rnacentral:tRNA from 4 species